rnacentral:rRNA from 1 species
AUUGAACGCUGGCGGCAUGCUUUACACAUGCAAGUCGAACGGUAACAGGGUGCUUGCACCGCUGGCGAGUGGCGAACGGGUGAGUAAUGCGUCGGAACGUGCCGAGUAGUGGGGGAUAACGCAGCGAAAGUUGUGCUAAUACCGCAUACGUACUGAGGUAGAAAGCGGGGGACCUUCGGGCCUCACGCUAUUCGAGCGACCGACGUCUGAUUAGCUAGUAGGUGAGGUAAGGCUCACCUAGGCGACGAUCAGUAGCGGGUCUGAGAGGAUGAUCCGCCACACUGGGACUGAGACACGGCCCAGACUCCUACGGGAGGCAGCAGUGGGAAUUUUGGACAAUGGGCGAAAGCCUGAUCCAGCCAUGCCGCGUGUCCGAAGAAGGCCUUCGGGUUGUAAAGGACUUCUGUCAGGGAGGAAAUCCCUAGUGCUAAUAACACUGGGGGAUGACAGUACCUGAAGGAUAAGCACCGGCUAACUACGUGCCAGCAGCCGCGGUAA